GGGGCCCCGGGAGCCCCGCACGGGCCAGGCGGCGACAUGGGCCGGGAUUUCCGUGCGGCCUCUGUCUGCACCCCACGCCGGGCUGUUCCAGCGGUCAUUUUAUAUGUACACGGAUUGUAGAUACAGAUUCUUUAGCUCUUAAGGUGGCUCUAAAAGGAGAAUUGCUUGUAUGAGGCUGAUCCUGAGACCAUUUCGGAGGACAUUUACUUGGACCAGCCAUUUUUAAAUAGAGAUGCUCAUGUACAGAAUCAGGGAGACAACCCAGCCAAACCAACGUGCGGCACAGAAUCAGAAAUCUACCUUUAUUCAACAAGAAGUACAGUAAAUACAUCCAGGGAAUCGGAUCCGGGCUUCUUCCCAAACUAGAAACAGACAUUUCCCCACAUGCUGGCCCCUCAUGCUCCAGCCUGUCGCCUCCAAGCCAAGUUGGGACCUUUCUGGCUCUCACCAACAGUUACAGUUUAGAGCCCGCUAUCAGAAAUGAGUUAACAAGCCUUCUGGUGGGCAAGCCACCGCAGGGCCAGCUCACCUUCCUGGAAACAGAUGGGGGUGGCUGGACUGUAAGGGGCACAGGAACCGCCUCCCUGGAUCAGAACAGUGGUCUUCUUCAUCCAGUCUUGUUCCCAGCAAUGGCCAGCAGCAGAAGUUUAAAAAAAAAGGUGCAAGAAAUGUGUCAGGAGGCAGUCGUGGCACAGAGGACGGCCUUUGCUCUGCAGCUGAGGUCUGAUGUUCUUCGUGAAACUCUCGGCAGGUUUUUUUAGGGACUUGACUGUCACAGGCUGAGAGAGUCUUGCUAUCUCUGAGUCCUGCUUAAGUCUUGCCCUCAAUGAUGUCUUUGUUGCAAUUAAUUC